UACGUAGGGUGCAAGCGUUAAUCGGAAUUACUGGGCGUAAAGCGUGCGUAGGCGGUCCUCCAAGUCCGCUGUGAAAGCCCCGGGCUUAACCUGGGAACUGCGUUUGAAACUGGGGAGCUGGAGUGUAGAAGAGGGGGGUGGAAUUCCAGGUGUAGCAGUGAAAUGCGUAGAGAUCUGGAGGAACACCGAUGGCGAAGGCAGCCCCCUGGGCUAACACUGACGCUCAUGCACGAAAGCGUGGGGAGCAAACAGG
rnacentral:rRNA from 1 species